UCUCUUCUGUGGAUCCUUUUCACCUCUUUGAUUUACUUUUCUUUUUUUCCUUUUUUGAUAUUGUCAAUGUCAACCACAAUAGGUUGAUCAAGAAUCUGGAGCAAAUCAAAAGGAAGAUCAUCAUCUCUGCAAAAUCAUGAGAAUAUGCGAUCUGCAAGAUCAGUUUACGAAGAAAUGGGUUUUUAACGUGCAUUAGCAAUUUUGUGCGGGCAGGUAAAACAACUUAAUGAACCUAUCAAGGUUAGAGUUGUACAGUGGUCGUUCGGGAGUCAGAACACAAAACCGUUGGGAUCUUUUGUUCUCUAAUAAUGUGUUCAAAUGAUAACCGGUGGGUUCAAUUGAUUUGGACAACACAAAUGGCUAUCCACCUUCCCUCACUCCGAAGGUGCUGAUGGCAUUUGUUCAAUGCUAGAACCUAUUCAACAGCGAAAAAAUAUUCAUGGAUAUUGAUCCAUGCAUCUAUGGAUAUCACGAUAUGAUUCUCACACACCAAAAUGGGAUAUUGAUAACGCAUUUGAAUAUUGCACCAUUCAAGGUACAAAAGAUUUAUUCACGGCAAACGCAACUGUCAGGCUAGCACCAGAAGAGGAAGAUUUCCUUAGAUACAAGUUUCGUCAUACGUAACUGAAAGUUUUGAGAUCGAGGCUACAGAAAUACACCCACCUAAUAGCUGUAAUUUUGCUCUGCACAUAUUGAAGGCUUUGAUUUUUGGUAUUGUAGGCAAUGUUAGUGCCACUGCACGCGUUUCAUACUGAUAAGAACUCCCAUUCUCUCCUGACAAUUAGUAUUAUAAUCUAGCAAGACGAUAUAACAUUCACCCAAGUGGAGUGAGGUAAAUAUUAUAUGAUUCAGCCAGAGUCCUUAACGGGAUUUUGUCCUCCAUCCUCAAAUGAAUACAACAUUCUACAUUAUUCUAUUCAACCAGAAACAUUGAACCCGCAUUUGUCAUGCUGUGAGAUAUUUGAAAUAUAAGUUAGAUUUUAAAAUUUUCAAGACCUAUUGUAUGUAUUAUACCAAACAAUGUUUCUAUAAGAACUUCUAGAGAUGUUGCAGAUUUUCAAGCACCUUUCUUGCAGAUAGCAUACGUAUAAAGAUUUUUUUUCCCCUGCAUGUCAGACUUCGAUCGUUAGAAGUGAUAAACAUACUCCCUUCCCCGAGGGCUUCAAAUGUUGUUACGGAGGCACUGUGACAAUAUGCGGAUCCUGAUGGUUUAUCAUGGAAGAAGUGGGAUGUGCGGACUGUUGAAACAUUUUUAUAAGAAUGCAGUAGGUUGUUCAUCUUGCGUUAAAUAUCAGUUGCUACUUCCAUCCUUGGCCGAUGUUAUUGGGAAAUUCCUGAAAGUGAUUUUCAAGUCUCAACUUCAUAUUCUUUUAGUUCUUAUGCAUGCUACUUUCCAAUGUUCUUUUAUGGUCUGAAUAGAGAGAUUUGUCUAUUUUGUGGAAUGGGUAUAGAUAUUAUUGUCUCAGUUUCUUCUUCGUUCUAUAUGUAAGAGAAAAUGUAAGAGAAAAAACAGCACGUCUAAGACUCCUAAUAAGGUGUCAUAUUUUUUCUUAAAACGAUUGGUUAUUUUUAAAAAAAAUAA